AAUUUCUUCCUCUUUUGAUUGUACCACCCACUGAGUUAACGUGGAAAUCAAAUAUGGAAGUCGUCAGAUUCGCCUAGAGAUGAUAUAAGGAAUAAGAAUGCAAUUAUGUUAAUUUGACUGUAUAAGAAUAUCUUUACUAUCUAACAAUAAAUUCCAUACCUCUAAUAA